GGAUGUGAGGGUGAUGUGGCUGUGACAUCUGUCACCCUCUUGAUCUCCAGGGUGGAUCUGGCUGGCCAGGGAGGUGACCUCUUUCUCCCUCAUCGCUCUGUGUGUGUCCCUCCCAAAGUUGUGCACUUGGGCGACCUUCCCCUAAAGACGAGGACGGUUCCUGGGUCAAGGGUAUACAAGUGGCUACACUCCCCUGCCAGAACAUGCACACAAGAUCUCAAGGCGCUUUUGUAGGAGAACAUAGGGUAGCUGUGCUCCCAAGACACCAGACACAUCCAAACAAAUCUCUGCAUGUGGCAGUCUGCCUUCUUUU
ensembl:misc_RNA 7SK 7SK RNA